AAUAUGGCUGCGAAUAAACGAAAAAAUAACUAGUCGAUCAGUACGAAAACAGAUUAAAAAAACUCGGUGCCAAAGUGUCCAAAAUGUAAAGGAAUUUUAAUCCUGAAAUGUUAUCAAAAAUACAAAUUUAAAAAACGUUUACUUAAAAUGGAUUUAAGGCUGCACCCUCCAGCGUGUUCAAAACAGGACACAUGAACUAUGUCGGAGCAUCUGCCACAUCGGAACCCCCCCUUUCCGGCCAUUACUCAGCAGUCUUAGAAGGGCUUAGUGAUGAAUCAUCGCCACCAUCGUUACCGAUUCACCGAUUCGGAGCAGGGACACCAAGAAGGCUUAAACUGGCGCCCAACUUCCACCGGCGACGGCGAUCCAGGUCUCGCACCUAUUUUAUCGACGCGAAGAAAGUGCCGUAAUCCGCCGGCAAUCAAUUAGAUACAAGCGCUCUAAGCACUCCCAAAGACAUCGCAGCCGUAUCUUAUCUUAUCGCCGCUUCUUCCGAUAAG